CAUGCAAGUCGAACGAGAGAGAAGGAGCUUGCUUCUUCGAUCGAGUGGCGAACGGGUGAGUAACGCGUGAGGAACCUGCCUCAAAGAGGGGGACAACAGUUGGAAACGACUGCUAAUACCGCAUAAGCCCACGGGUCGGCAUCGACCUGAGGGAAAAGGAGUGAUCCGCUUUGAGAUGGCCUCGCGUCCGAUUAGCUAGUUGGUGAGGUAACGGCCCACCAAGGCGACGAUCGGUAGCCGGACUGAGAGGUUGAACGGCCACAUUGGGACUGAGACACGGCCCAGACUCCUACGGGAGGCAGCAGUGGGGAAUAUUGCACAAUGGGGGAAACCCUGAUGCAGCGACGCCGCGUGGAGGAAGAAGGUCUUCGGAUUGUAAACUCCUGUUGUUGAGGAAGAUAAUGACGGUACUCAACAAGGAAGUGACGGCUAACUACGUGCCAGCAGCCGCGGUAAAACGUAGGUCACAAGCGUUGUCCGGAAUUACUGGGUGUAAAGGGAGCGCAGGCGGGAAGACAAGUUGGAAGUGAAAUCUAUGGGCUCAACCCAUAAACUGCUUUCAAAACUGUUUUUCUUGAGUAGUGCAGAGGUAGGCGGAAUUCCCGGUGUAGCGGUGGAAUGCGUAGAUAUCGGGAGGAACACCAGUGGCGAAGGCGGCCUACUGGGCACCAACUGACGCUGAGGCUCGAAAGUGUGGGUAGCAAACAGGAUUAGAUACCCUGGUAGUCCACACCGUAAACGAUGAUUACUAGGUGUUGGAGGAUUGACCCCUUCAGUGCCGCAGUUAACACAAUAAGUAAUCCACCUGGGG
rnacentral:rRNA from 1 species